GUUUUCGUGGUGUUGUGGUUACCACGUUCGCUUCACAUGCGAAGGGCCCCCGUUUCGAACCCGGGCGAAAACA